rnacentral:lncRNA from 1 species
AGGGUAUAACCUCCCUCCCAGGGUUGUAAUGUGGUUUAAAGGAGAGAAGGUUUGUAGCUAUUAUUGCAAUUAUGCUUAUAAUAAAGUCUUAGGAAGGGUAAUGGAGCCCUCUAGAAACAAUAACUAUUUAUGGAGCACUCAUUAAUGUGAUAUAUUUAUUAAUUUAUGGUAUAAUUUUCAUAUUUAAAUUUUCCCUAAUAUGUUUUU